ACCCUCUGGUGACAGGCUGCAUUACAGGUCAUAAAUCCCGCCUCCUCCGGCAAUCCCUAUGGAGCUGUGGACGAACUUUAGAAAUUAUUUACACGAAAUAUGUAUAUGUUUUUCCCCCUCUGGCUGGGUUGUUGACAUGUAGUUACUGUAAGACUGGCUUGUGCUCAAAUCCUCUUUUUUUCUGUUAUCAAAAGUUAUUCGUUACAAGCUACACGUUUUCUAUGAUUGACACUUGAUACAGCCUAUGGGUUACGAAGACUGCAUAGCUCACCUGGGGGAAAGGUGUUUGAGCAGUGUGCCAUCACAGAGACUUUUGGCCAAUCUCCUGCCGAAUGCGUACAAUGCUACUGUGCAAGUGGUGAAGUGCGUACAACGCUACUGAGCAAUCUUGGUUUCAGGAAGUGGAGAAAAAUCGCGGAAAUACCAAGAGCUCUUCAGCUUCAAAUCUGUACACUGGCGGAAGGUGGAAUUAAGUUGACCAUCGUAUAUACCGUCUAUGGUUAGACAUAAUCAGCCAUUGUGUUUGACCUUUUAUGAAAGGUCAGGGCUCUCAAGUCUCACGCAUUCAGUGUGUGACACACGCAUUCCCACCCAUUCAAGCGCCACACUUUGAAUUUCUCACACAUUUAAAUGAACAUGGUGAUGUCCACCAAGUUGCACCUCUUUAACUAUGGAAAAGGUAGGAAUAAAGUGAGAGUUAAGAAGCUGUGUGCCACGCGCAAGCCAAUCAAAUAAAGUAUAUAUACUGAACAGCCAAUCAAAAAGCAGCAUUGCUGUAUCAGGGGAGAUUUUGAUAUCUACAGAAGAAGACACACUCGCCGAAACAGAGCAGGUUUCAUAAGGACAAGAAAGACCCGAUGAUUUCAGGAAGUCAGUAACCUACACAUGCAGAGACCUCAACACCUCAUGGCUAUUAACAGCUGUAUUGAUGAAUUUAGCCUUUGUACAGCCAUUUCCAGCCAUUUUUCCCUCCACAAAAAUCACAUUUCUCAUAUAUUCUUUUUAAAGUUCUGAUACUCAUGACAGUUUAAAGCUGAUGUUCCAAAGGAUUAAGUAUCUCCAUGUUUGUGGAACCUAUACUGAAGUACAAAUCAUCUAAAUGCUUCACAGUGCUGAUUUUAACAACCCUCCUCCACAACAGGAAACUUUGAUACUUUAUUCUUAUAAAUUAAUGACUUUAUUCUCCUAAAUAAUAACUUUAAUCUCAAAGAUUAAAUUUUUUUUUUCUUAAUGUGGCCCUCAUACUCCAUUGGAUUUAUUAAAUUAUUGAAUUAUUAGAUUAUUAUACUAACAAUUAUCUUCAAUCACUCUUCACCCUUCAAGCUUAGUUCAAAACUUGAGAGCCCUGUGAAAAUGAUCUGGCCAAUCAGAUUCAGCGGACUGUGUUUCAGCAGGCCUAAAUUAACUUUCAUGUUUGAGUCAGUUCUCCCUUUUAUAUCUCUCUCUAUAUAUCUUUUUGUCACUUUCCUCCUCCCUCCUCUUUUGUCUCAGGCAGUUAUCGCUCACUUCUGGCCCUCUACAUUCCCCAAAUCCCCAACCUCUCUGCGUCAUUUUCAGCUCAAUUUAAUGCUCUCUACACCCCCAGCCACCCCUUUGAGUCUCUCUCUCUCUCUUUCUCUCCAUGUCUCUCUCGUUCUGUGUGUGUCUGUCUUUUUCUCUCUAAUAGAGUAUGAAUGAGUGAGGCAGAGUAAUAAAGUUUGAGAGGAGGCGGCCAGCCACGUCUCCCACCUCAACAGUCACGCUCACCUCUGUAACCAGGUUACUGUGUGUGUUUAUAUUUAUGUGUGUAUGUGAGUGUGCUGGCUGUUUGUUGUGGCUCAACUACCUACAGUUUAGUGUGUGUUUGAAAGUGUGAAAUGUCUAUCUGCCUCAGCUCAAUAAUCAAACCACACACACACACACACACACACACACACACACACACACACACACACACACACACACACACACACAACUGUAUAACCUGAUCAGUGACUCUGAGUGUUUGUGCGCUCUCUCUCUCUUUCUGCUCUGAACAGACCCUCUACAUUGCAUGAUUAGUGUCUGUCUGAUAUGUAAUAAAACACACACACAUAAAAAUAAACAAACCCAGGCAGGAUUUCUUUGUUUCAUUAAUCUAAAGUGACUUAAUUUGACAAAUACAGCACUCAGCCAGGAAUCAUCAUGUUGACUUCGCUGCAAAGAAUCUUAAAGGAACUAACAAAAUAAUGAGUCACACAUUUUCUUCUGCAGACUAUUUUUCUAUGACCGCACACAAACAGAAACACCCCCACACACAUAAUGUUUAGUAGUAUAACCAAAAAGCAACCAUUACAAAGUGGUGUAUUUUUCUUUUUUUAGUUAUGCACUACUCCUCAACCACCAGUGCUGAAAAAACAGGCUGAUGCAGGAGGAUUUAAAAACAAGCUGUAGUUCCUCUAGAGACCACUUGAGGCUUUCCUCAAAUGCAAAUUAAGAUGGGAUUCAUGAUAAUAUGGGAACCAUCCUAACAAGUCCUAUGUUAGGAUGCAAAUGUUUGCAGGGACCAUUUUAGCCCCUUCAUUUUGCACACAGUGUAUGGAGUAAAAAUGUUUUCAUAUCUCAUCCAAAUAUCUAAAAGUUGUGCAAUCAUUUGCAGCUGGAACAUACUGACAGGUAGGCAUGUUGCAACAAUUUGCCAGGAGGCAAAAGCUCUACCGCCACUCUCUUUUUUAGCUAGUUUUAAGGCUGAUCUUGGUUAGUUGGAGCCAGCAGUUCCUAUACAGUGACUAUCAUUGUUGGGCUAAACCUUCCUUGGAAGCUAAUUGGUGAUGACACUGAGCUCUAUGAAAUGCUAAGCACAAACAUGUUUCCACCAAACACCCACAUUCAAUCAAAGGCAAGUGAACCAUUACUUUGUGUUGUUAAUGUGUUGUUUGACAUGUGUUUUUAUGAUGUAGUCAAGGUUCUCUAAGUACCUUGAAAAGCGCUAUGUGCAUAACAUUAGCCCUUAUCAUGACGAUCAACAGGUUGCACCCAGAUAGCACCCAUGGGAGUUUUGAUCAUAAAAUGAGGUAUAAUCAGGUGUACAACUGGCAUGAUGCUAUCUUGAAGAACCAAGGCAAGCGGCACAGAGCUUUUGUGGGGUACUUAGAUGGGCAUAUGGGCUCACAGUGCACAUUUCACUGCUUUUUUUUGCACAGAGAUACACAGCAAUGCUCACAUCAUUAUUAAAUAUUAGUGUUUCUGCUGAUACAGUGUAAUUUUGUCAUUAUUAUAAUUGAUAAUGGAGCGGGGAAAGUAUUUUCCCCUUCAGCUUCAUACAUCAUUAAACUGGUCCUGGUAUGGAGCUGAUCUAGGGAUGCCAGAAGACAAGGGCAUUAUUUCUCCUCGCAUAUCUGCCUGAAAUUCAUAACUGCAGAGCCCAAAUAGAGCCUGACGCACCACCAGGAUUCACUGACAUAAAUGUACAAUAAUGUUAAUAGUGUGCAGGGGAAUUUUCAGUGGGUUUAAUAUUGAUCCAUGCAUUAACAUAACCCAUACAUGACUUUUUUUCUGUUUUCUGUUUUUGAAGAGCACAAUGGAAGAAAAGAAGAUAAAUAUGGCCUAUGUAAACAGAGAGGCUAAACCCUGCUGUGUAAAUAGCAAACUGCCUGUUGCCCAUGCAUCUGACUCUUGAAGGAAAUGAGAGUGGACAGAGUGGUUGGUUUUACUCAUGCUUGGUCCAGAACACACCUUUGAGUAACCAACCUUAUUGCACCAUGCAUAUUACCUAACGCCCAGAUUCAGCAAAAUACAGUUGGAUGUGCCUGGAUUCACUUUGCAUUAUACACUGUACACCAUGUUCUUCAGGUCGUGUCAAGAGGGUGUGAUGUCUGUGAGGACAUGAGCACUUAAGUCAGUAGGAGUAAAAAAAUCUGCCAGAGCACAAGUUUAGAUUAUGGAGGACAAACUGUUCAUUGAAUUUACUGUUUAACUGGAGACAUAACAUUAAAUAUGCUGUUGAAUCAUGGAGGCUGGGUCAGUGUAAAAGUUUCAGAGUAACAGUAAAUAAGAAAGCUGAUCACCGAGUUUCCUCCAUACUCCAUAAUUCUCCUGCCCUUCAGCGAUGUGAGUUAUGGAGCAUUGGGUUUAUUUCAUGCAGCCCCUCCUCUGAGAGCUCUGGGCACAAGUAGAUACAGUGAAAUCUCAGUAGCGCAUAAAUCAGCACUUAUCCAACUUCAUCAGCAAAACAGGCAAACACAACAGUAACUUGGCACUGUCACUUGUUUGUCUUUGCCUUCAGCUCAUUUCCAUGGCAGCAGCAGCAGUGAGGCCUGUUAGUAUGCUGCAAAAAAUGAAAGGCUGAGCAAUCAUCUAGAUCUGCAAGCAUAUUUUUAUGGACAUGAGGUAGGCUGCCACUGUAGAUAUUUACACAGGGGAGGUUCUCUUGAGCAACAACAAAAAAAAAAAAAAAAAAAAAAAUGUGAGAGGCCAGUCUGAGCGUAGUAUAUCCAUGUACCUCGCAUAACCACGUUUCAGAGUAUUUCGGGCUGUAACAUUUAUGAGGACAUGAGCGUUUACUUCACAUCCACAUUUUCAAUGCUUCUCCUUGCUUAUGCUUUAAUCUGUUCUAAUUGUGUUUAAAAAUUUGUGUUUGUUUCUAUUUCACACAAUUUACAUUAAUUACUAAGGACCGAUACUUAGGACCAAUAAAUACCUGGUUCUGAAUUUUUAAAAAACCCAAAAUUCAGUAAUGUUUAGGUUUCAAGGGUACCAUGAAGUUGAUAGAGUUAAGUCAUCUUAUGUUAAAUCAGUUGUGCAUGAAUAUUAAUAGACUGUCUAAUGAAGUCUUUGACAAAACUCACAAGCCGUUCAGGGACCAGGUGAACGUGGCAAAUGUGCAAAGAGGUCCAAAGUGUGGCUCCUUUUUAAUGAAGUUGAAGAUAGAGGUGAAGUGAAAUGUAAUUUAAUUAGCAAAAUAUAUUCUUGCAACCUCAACAGCCAAGUACAUCAGCAUUGUGCAUCAAAUCAAACUAAAAUACAGGAACUUCCUUCUGUCUGUGGGUUGAAACAACUUUGUCAACUCUAGCUGCUGCUGCUGCAGGGCUGCCAUCCUUUCGCUCCAGCCUGAGCAAACACAAAUCAAGAUUUAGGCAAAAUCUCUAUACGUAAAUUGUUUGGAGAGGAUCGUCUAACAGAAAAGACUUAAUCAUGGUUUUAUGGAGUUGAACCAUUUAGGAUUCUCCAUAAUGGUAUCAUUAAAAAAAAUUAUAAUGAUAACAACCUUCAUCCUUACAAGAUGCCCAUGCCAGCUACUGAGUUUUUCGGAACCAACUAAGGCAUGAAAAGCAGACCAGGGUGAGAUACUUGACUUCAAUUUGAGUGUGUUCCUGUGGACAGCAAAACCAAAAGCUUUAAGAGACAUUGGCGUCCAUGACAUUACUGCACACAAGACGGUUCUUCUUUGUGCAUGUGCCAAGUGAGCUGACUAGGCAGGUAAAACAAAAGGACC